GUUUAUGAUGAUUUCCACUUAUAUCACGACGGUCAACUGUGUUCCUUAAUUUGUUUAUUUUGGAACGUUGAUGAUAAAUUGCCUGUGACAGGGCGUGGCUCUGAUA
rnacentral:snoRNA from 1 species